CAGCCGCCGCGGGAAUACAGAGGGUGCGAGCGUUAAUCGGAUUUACUGGGCGUAAAGCGUGCGUAGGCGGCUUCUUAAGUCGGAUGUGAAAUCCCUGAGCUUAACUUAGGAAUUGCAUUCGAUACUGGGAAGCUAGAGUGUGUCAGAGGAUGGUGGAAUUCCCGGUGUAGCGGUGAAAUGCGUAGAGAUCGGGAGGAACAUCAGUGGCGAAGGCGGCCAUCUGGGACAACACUGACGCUGAGGCACGAAAGCGUGGGGAGCAAACAGGAUUAGAUACCCCCGUAGUCCCUGUCUCUUAUAC
rnacentral:rRNA from 1 species